GAUGAACGCUGGCGGCGUGCUUAAUACAUGCAAGUCGAACGAACAGACGCGGCUCUUGCUCCUCUGACGUUAGCCGCGUACGUGUGAGUAACACGUGUAUCACCUACCUAUAAGACUGGUAUAACUUCGGGAAACCGGCUCUUAUACCGGAUAAUAUCUUGAUCCGCAUGGUUCAAUAGUUAAUGCCGGUUUUGCUGUCACUUCUAGAUGCAUCCGCGCCGUAUUGGCUGUUUGUUAAGGUAACGGCUUAUCACGGCAACGAUGCGUAGCCGACCGGCGAGGGUGAUAGGCGACACUGGAACUGAGACGCGGUCAAGAGUCCUAAGGGAGGCAGCAGUAGGGAAUGUGAGGCAAUGGGCGAAAGCAUGACGGAGCAACGCGGAGUGAGUGAUGAAGGUCUUCGGAGCGGAAAAAUCUGUUAGGAGUGAAAAACAAAUGUGGAAGUAACUAAGCAGGGAGUGACGGUAACGAAUCAAAAAGCAACGGCUAACUACGUG
rnacentral:rRNA from 1 species